ACUAAAGAUCAUACUUUUCCAUGUAAAAAAAUACCCUCAACUAAACUUUCCGCUCCAAAAAUAUGUAACAAAAUCCAAUAAUUACAAGCAAAAUAGGAAUAUUGUUAUUACUAAAAUAAUUACAUCUUCAUUUAUACAAAAUCACAAACUACAAACAAUAACAUCAUCAGCAUCUGAAACUAAAAGUUUAACCUCGACACCACCGCCAACAAUGGAGAGAGAAACCAUGCGCCGCCGUAGCAUCGCCGUCAUUCUGUUGCUUUCAGUCUGCCUCGCGGCGUCGCCGGCUUCUGCUUCGUCUUCUCAGGCUGAUUUCAUCAAGAAAACUAUCUCUUCUCAUACAAUUGUCAUCUUCUCCAAAUCUUAUUGCCCGUACUGUAAGAGGGCGAAAGAGGUUUUUAGAGAGUUAGACCAAGCACCACAUGUUAUUGAGUUGGAUGAGAGAGAUGAUGGUUAUAGCAUUCAGGAUGCACUUAGAGAUAUUGUUGGGAGACGUACAGUGCCCCAGGUCUUCAUCAACGGAAAACACAUUGGUGGAUCAGAUGAUACUGUUGAAGCCUAUCAAAAUGGAGAGCUGGCCAAACUUCUGGGUAUUGAUUUAACCGAUCAUGAUGAUCUGUGAUUCUGUGAAGUCAGACUAUAGUCAUAAUUUUAGAAUGAAGAUAAGUAUGGAGUAUGCAAGACUGAGACAAAGACCUUACCUUAAUUGCAAUUUCAUGAUUAGAAAACAAAAAGUGAUGUGAAGAAAACAAUGAUAAUUGACCUGAGAUUGAAACAAGGUACUAGCUAAUCAGGCUUCAAAAUGUAGAGGUUGCUAGAAGUUUGAGCUCCUCGUGAUCUAUGCUAUGAUUUCUACAAACAUUGUGGUUAUGGUCCAUGGCAUUAGUUGACAAUGCAAAUGUAAUCUUUUCUUGCUUAGCAUACACCCUGAAACUAAGAGUAGGGAAUGAUUUCUGUAACCUUUUUCUUUCUUUCAAUGUUAGUUUUGGACUUGAAUUUGGACUCAUUGUCUCAUCUUAAGUUGUGGUUUUGUCAUUUUUGAGCAUCUAUCGACAGUUUUAAAAGUAUCACCUGGCCUUGAUCAGAAAGUGCAUCAAGUGGCAAUCAGGUUCCGCACUUUACGUUGGAUUCCUGUGUUACAUUAAUUGCAUCCAAUGCUAGUCUUUUACAAGCAGGGUAUCUAUAAUGUGUGUCCCGCGACAGAUAUCUAAAAUGCCGGUGGCCCUUCCUGUACGGUAUGGAUGCUUUCUUGUUGGGCGAAAGAGUGGAUGUCUUUGAUGCUGCAAUGUUCCUGCACUCCCUUUUCCACUUUUUUUUUUUUUUUUUUUUCACUUGUACCGCCUUAUACUGUUCGUAGCUGAUUAUUACUCAUCUAUUGAUUCUCUCUCUGAGCUGUGAUCUGCAUCCUGUCCUUGAGGAA